CUAAUUCAGUUAAUGAGACUGUUCACUCAAGCUUUGUGCUACAGCUACGUUCCUGACUAGGCACUCUAAAGAUCUAUGGGGUAAUAGCAACUUCAACCGAAUCCAACACCCACUGUUGGAGAAGAGGCGUUCGGAAGUUGUUACCAUGGCGACAGAUGACAGUGUGGUUCAAACGUAGAGGUAAGUUAGAUCGAAAGCAAACUCGGAACGAAACAUGGCUGAUAGGAAGCACUUCAUAUUAUUCCCAAUUAAAUGCUGUCUUAGAAAUUAUAAUACAUAAUUUACACAUGUAAAGGUAAAGCUGAAACGGAUAAAACAUGAUCGAUCGUUUUUCCUGCCAUGAAUGCUAUCUGCACAGACAUGAGUAAUGCUAGUGCAGAACUUCCAGUAGGAAAUGCCUACAUCACUAUUCAUUGUCACAAUAUAACAAGAUAUCUGAACGAUUAUCUAGCUUCACUAGCUUCGAACGUCUCAAACAAUUCUGGUAUACAAAACGAAGAAGAAA
rnacentral:misc_RNA from 1 species